rnacentral:rRNA from 1 species
CGAAAAUGUACCGGGGCUAAGCAUACUACCGAAGCUGCGGAUUUACGAUUAAACGUAAGUGGUAGGGGAGCGUUCCAUGAACGUAGAAGCCGUAUCGGAAGAAGCGGUGGAGAGCAUGGAAGUGAGAAUGCCGGUGUGAGUAGCGAGAUGCAGGUGAGAAUCCUGCACACCGAUAGCCCAAGGAUUCCAGGGGAAGGUUCGUCCGCCCUGGGUAAGUCGGGACCUAAGGCGAGGCCGAAAGGCGUAGUCGAUGGAAAACAGGCAGAUAUUCCUGUACCCGCGUGAGAAUGAAGGAGUGACGGAGAAGGUUAGUGGAUCCACUUAAUGGAUUGUGGUCCAAGCGCAGGAGCAGAUACGUAGGCAAAUCCGCGUAUCAAUGCAAAGGCGUGAAGGGGAGUGAAAGCUUCGGCGAGUAGCGAAGUUCAUGAUACCAGCUUCCAAGAAAAGCUUCUAGUGCUAAUCUCAUCGCGGCCCGUACCAAAACCGACACAGGUGGGCAAGGCGAGAAGCCUGAGGUGAGCGAGAGAACUGUUGCCAAGGAACUCGGCAAAAUGACUCCGUAAGUUAGCGAGAAGGAGUGCUCUUGUAAAAGAGAGCCGCAGUGAAGAGGCCCAAGCGACUGUUUAACUAAAACACAGCUCUCUGCAAAGUCGCAAGACGAAGUAUAGGGGGUGACUCCUGCCCGGUGCUGGAAGGUUAAGAGGAUGUGUCAUUCCGAAAGGGAGAAGCAUUGAAUUGAAGCCCCGGUGAACGGCGGCCGUAACUAUAACGGUCCUAAGGUAGCGAAAUUCCUUGUCAGGUAAGUUCUGACCCGCACGAAAGGAGUAACGAUUUGGGCGCUGUCUCGGCAGCAGACUCGGUGAAAUCUUAGUCCCGGUGAAGAUGCCGGGUACCCGCAACUAGACGGAAAGACCCCAUGGAGCUUUACUGUAGCCUGAUAUUGAAUUUUGAUCAAACAUGUACAGGAUAGGUGGGAGACAAAGAGACCUGCACGCCAGUGUAGGAGGAGUCGACGUUGGGAUACCACCCUUGUUUGAUUGAAGUUCUAACCUGCUUCCGUGACCCGGAAGAGGGAGAGUGUCAGGUGGGCAGUUUGACUGGGGCGGUCGCCUCCUAAAGAGUAACGGAGGCGCCCAAAGGUACCCUCAGAUUGGUUGGAAAUCAAUCGACGAGUGCAAAUGCAGAAGGGUGCUUGACUGCGAGACCAACAAGUCGAGCAGGGACGAAAGUCGG